UUUGAUCCUGGCUCAGGACGAACGCUGGCGGCGUGCCUAAUACAUGCAAGUCGAACGCGUCUCCGUUAAUGAUUUUAAGUGCUUGCACUUGAAAGAUUUAACAUUGAGACGAGUGGCGAACUGGUGAGUAACACGUGGGUAACCUGCCCUUGAAGUAGGGGAUAACACUUGGAAACAGGUGCUAAUACCGUAUAACAACCAAAACCACCUGGUUUUGGUUUAAAAGACGGCUUCGGCUGUCACUUUAGGAUGGACCCGCGGCGUAUUAGCUUGUUGGUAAGGUAACGGCCUACCAAGGCGAUGAUACGUAGCCGACCUGAGAGGGUAAUCGGCCACAUUGGGACUGAGACACGGCCCAAACUCCUACGGGAGGCAGCAGUAGGGAAUCUUCCACAAUGGGCGAAAGUCUGAUGGAGCAACGCCGCGUGAGUGAUGAAGGGUUUCGGCUCGUAAAACUCUGUUGUUGGAGAAGAACAGGUGUCAGAGCAACUGUUGACAUCUUGACGGUAUCCAACCAGAAAGCCACGGCUAACUACGUGCCAGCAGCCGCGGUAAUACGUAG
rnacentral:rRNA from 1 species